UCAAAUUUGAAAUCUGGGCCUUUCAGGCUCCGAGUUGUAAUUUGUAGAAGAUGCUUUGGGUGCGGCCCCGGUCUAAGUUCCUUGGAACAGGACGUCAUAGAGGGUGAGAAUCCCGUAUGUGAUCGGUGGCCUGCGCCCGUGUAAAGCUCUUUCGACGAGUCGGGUUGUUUGGGAAUGCAGCUCUAAAUGGGUGGUAAAUUUCAUCUAAAGCUAAAUAUUGGCCAGAGACCGAUAGCGCACAAGUAGAGUGAUCGAAAGAUGAAAAGCACUUUGGAAAGAGAGUUAAACAGUACGUGAAAUUGUUGAAAGGGAAGCGCUUGCAACCAGACUUGCGCGGGGUUGAUCAUCCGGGGUUCUCCCCGGUGCACUCGGCCCCGCUCAGGCCAGCAUCGGUUUCGGUGGUUGGAUAAAGGCCUUGGGAAUGUGACUUCCUUCGGGGAGUGUUAUAGCCCUCGGUGCAAUGCAGCCUACCGGGACCGAGGACCGCGCUUCGGCUAGGAUGCUGGCGUAAUGGUUGUAAGCGACCCGUCUUGAAACACGGACCAAGGAGUCUAACAUCUAUGCGAGUGUUUGGGUGUCAAACCCAUACGCGUAAUGAAAGUGAACGGAGGUGAGAACCCUUAAGGGUGCAUCAUCGACCGAUCCUGAUGUCUUCGGAUGGAUUUGAGUAAGAGCAUAGCUGUUGGGACCCGAAAGAUGGUGAACUAUGCCUGAAUAGGGUGAAGCCAGAGGAAACUCUGGUGGAGGCUCGCAGCGGUUCUGACGUGCAAAUCGAUCGUCAAAUUUGGGCAUAGGGGCGAAAGACUAAUCGAACCAUCCGUAUGGCACGGAGGAUAUCUCCUAUAAAUGCUCUCUUUGGACAAGAGCAGUUGCUAGGUGGUUAAGAGGCUACCCUAAUAGGUAGCCUAGUCCUAGGCCUAGGGCAACAUUGUCAAAUUGUUCGGGGACGUCCUGUUAAUGCUAAGCUACCGCAGCCUCUCCGAAAGGGAGGUGCGCACCAGGUGUAAUGGCCUCGGGGAUGGUAACAACGCUUAGUUAGGGAUAAUCCGCAGCCAAGCCCUGUCGGGACACCCUAGAGUGUCCCUAUGGGUGCAGUUCACAGACUAGAUGUCAGUGGGUGCUAC
rnacentral:rRNA from 1 species